ensembl:snoRNA
UUCCAAAGUGUUGAGUUCAGUUCAGGGUAGCUUCCCUGGUCUGGUAAUUAAACUUUGGAACAUUAAAACUGGCUGUGGAAAAUGAUUGAGUAGAAAAUGUUUCUCUAUUUAUUCGUUUUUCCCCUGCCUACAAAA